CCAUCUUCUACCCUUACAUCCCCACGCAUACCAGUCAAGAAAAUCGCUUCACAUGUUCUAGUUUGAAACGAUUCAACGAAAAUGCUAGCUCUCAUCUGUAGAGCCCAAAUAUGCCCGGGCCCAAUAAAAUUAACUCUAGCCCAAUAACCCUUACAAAACAUAAGCUAAACCCAGACCCAACUACACCUGAAAUGGCCCAAACACAAAAACUUCAGAAACCCUAAGUAGCCGCCACCCUCAAGCGCCCCAGCAGUCUCUAGCCACCGCAGGUUUCGGCCUCCACUCAUGCCGUUUCUCCGCAAACACCGCUCCUCAACCACGUACCUGCAACAAGCGAAAGAGAAGAGCAAAAAAAUCGGGCCAACAAACAACCGAGUAGAUUUAUUAGGAUUUAUUUUUCUUUCUCUUUUCUUUCCCAUUUUCGGCUAUAAAAGAGCCGAUUAAGCACUGUAAAUGGGGGAUUUUGCAGGGUAAAAACACAAACAGAAAUCAGAGAAAAGAUUAAAAGUACAGAUUCGAUUUUUUAACAAAGGUUUUUUUCCGUCUUAUUUAAUUGGUGUUCGUCAUUUACGUUUCUUUUUUUCCUUUUUUAUUUCGUUUAAAAUAUAAAAAAAAAGAAAGGAAGCUUACCUCUUUCGCCGGAGUCGUCGAUCGGCGCCACCUCCGUCGCAAUCGGAGCUGUGGCGCACGGUGGAACGGGCGACGCGGUGGCUUAGGUUUAGAACCCUAGCAGAGAAC
rnacentral:lncRNA from 1 species